CGUAGGAUCCGAGCGUUAUCCGGAUUUACUGGGUGUAAAGGGUCCGUAGGCGGGCUCGUGCGUCGAAGGUUAAAGCCCACAGCUCAACUGUGGAAAUGCCCUCGAUACGGCGGGUCUUGAGUGCGAGAGAGGAAGGUAGAAUUCCUGGUGUAGCGGUGAAAUGCGUAGAUAUCAGGAGGAAUACCAGUAGCGAAGGCGGCCUUCUGGCUCGUCACUGACGCUGAGGGACGAAAGCGUGGGGAUCAAACAGGAUUAGAUACCCUGGUAGUCCACGCCCUAAACGAUGUAUGCUUGGUGUUGGAAACUUGUUUUCCAGUGCCGGAGGUAACCCGUUAAGCAUACCACCUGGGGAGUACGAUCGCAAGGUUG
rnacentral:rRNA from 1 species